ACAGGUGCUGCAUGGCUGUCGUCAGCUCGUGCCGUGAGGUGUUGGGUUAAGUCCCGCAACGAGCGCAACCCUUNUCCUUAGUUGCCAGCGAGUAAUGUCGGGCACUCUAGGGAGACCGCCUCGGUCAACGGGGAGGAAGGUGGGGACGACGUCAAGUCAUCAUGGCCCUUACGCCCAGGGCUACACACGUACUACAAUGGCGGGUACAAUGGGCUGCGAGACCGCAAGGUGGAGCCAAUCCCAAAAAACCCGUCCCAGUCCGGAUCGGGGUCUGCAACUCGACCCCGUGAAGUCGGAAUCGCUAGUAAUCGGAGAUCAGCAUGCUCCGGUGAAUACGUUCCCGGGUCUUGUACACACCG
rnacentral:rRNA from 1 species